GAUAGAUAGAUAGAUAGAUAAGACAGACAGAUAAUUACAUGCCCUUGGGAAAACAUUAUCUAGCAAUAGUGGAUAUCUGCUCUUUGCUGCCCAGCAUCCCUCUUUCUUUUGGGAAACCAUCCAGACUCCAUUUUAUAUUAAUUUGUUUGCCUGGAAUUGAUCCACAAGCCCAUUGCCACGAUUGAUGAUGUUUGAUUCAAAGAUUGGUAUACAAUCCAAUUAGAACUGAUGAACCCUUGAGAGCCAGUAAGUAGAGGCUUCUGGAAAAGGGAAGCAUCCCCCCUUGCCUUUGGUAAUGGAUAGGGGAGCUAUCCAGAUGAUCAGGGCCAUCAGGUACACACCCCUAGAGGGCACCAUUCACAUACGCAAAAGAUGAAGUCAUGACCCAGGAAAAGCAUCCUGGUGACAUUGCAGAGCCGUGAUUCAAGAUGAACUGAAACUCCCCACAGAUUUUUCAGUUACAUUAAGCCAGCAAAUCCACCCACUUCUUAGAGCAGGUUGAGUUUCCAUUUUCCGUCAUUUGCAGCAUAGAGUCCUAACUGAUGCAAUAAAAGUCUAAGAGGAAAGAAAAGGUUUCUUGCCUGUUCCCAACCUCCAGUUUCAUGCCCCGGAGGCAAUCACUGUGAUGCUGCGUUCAGACAUUUGGGUGCACACGUGUGUAUAACGCAUGCCUUUCAUGCAAAUCGAAUUGUAUUGUAUACAUGGUUCCACCACUUGCUCAUUCUAAACUUAUGUUGUAUUGUGGAGAUCUUCAUUUGUUGAUACAGACUAUUCUGCAAUUGGAUGUAUCAUCAUCAAUUUGAUCUGUCUUCCACUGGUGAAAAUUUAUUUUCUCUUCAAUUUUUUACUAUGAUAAACAAUACCUUUAUACAUAUAUCUGUGUGCAUUCAUGCAAUUAUAUCCAAAGGAAAAAAACUCCUAGAAAUGGAAUUGGUCUUUCAAAGGGAAUGUAAAAAAUGUUGCCUUCCAGAAUGAUUAUACCAAUACAGUCUUCUCAAAAACACAUGAGAAUGUUUCUUCUCCACCAUUAGUAACACUGUGUUUUGCCAAAUAUAAGAAAUUUUGCCAAUAUGAUAGUGAAAAGCAGUAUUGUUUUCUCAAUUUGCAUUUGUUUGAUGAGUGUAUACACACACAUAGACACACAUGGAGAGAGAUUCAUAUAUAUUUAGGCUAUAUAUUUUAUAAAUUCAUUAGCUAUUUUUCUAUAAAUUCCCCAUUCAUAUCCUCCACAGAUUUUUCUCUUGGGUCAUUUAUCUUGUCCUUAUUGAUUUGUCUUUACAUAUCAGGAAAAUAGACCCUUUUCUCAUACAUGUUCUUUUUUUUUUAAGUAUGCUUUUCCUUUUCUUUUGGUGAGCAAGAGUGGCCCUAAGCUAACACCUGUUACCAAUCUUCCUGUAUUUUUUUUCUCCCCAAAGCCCCAGUACGUAAUUGUAUAUCCUAGUUCCAAGUCAUUCUAGUUCUUCUAUGUGGGAUGCUACCGCAGCAUGGCCUGGUGAGCAGUGUGUAGGUCCACACCCAGGAUCCGAACCAGCAAACCCCAGGCUGCCAAAGAUGAGCACAUGAACUUAACCUCUCGGCCACAGGGCCCGCACCCAUACAUGUUCUGAAUAUAUUUUUCCAAGUUUGUUGUUCACCCUUCAGCAUUGCUUUGUUUCUUUAUCAUUUUUUUAAGUAUAACAUUUCAAGUGUACAGAAAGCAGGAGAGAAUUAUAUAAUAGCACCUAUAUGUCCACCAUCCAGUUUUAAAAUGUUACCGUAAUUUUGCAAUAUUUGCUUCAGCUUUGUCUUUUAAAGAAUAAAAUGUUACAGGUACAGUUGAAGCUUCUUUCCACUCUCACUGAUGCCGUUCUUCUCCAUGUCUCCCCACAGGUGACCACCACCUCAAAGAAGAAAAAAAGACAGCAAUAAUGAAUUGUCUGUGGACAGUUGUUCUCAAGUAAGCCUUCCCGGGAUCUGCAAGCAUCUUUCCAAGAGAGACCAGGUUCACAUCGUUGCAACAGUGAGGCUCGCAAAGCUCCCAUGAGAAGCUGUUCACAAACUGUGCCACCUUCUGACUGAUGUUGCUGAUAAAGAACAGAGAAGAAUCUGCCCAUUAAACUUGCCUCAAAGGAGGUCGUUGAGUUGUGAUUGGAUAUAUUAUAUAUUAUACAAUAAUUUAUUUUGACCCUAGGAGAGGUUCAUUUGAAAAAGGCCAUAAUACCUCUUUCUGCCCACUUUGGAGCAGACUUUAGCUGGGGUCAAAGCCCUAACGUCAGCCUCUAUGAAAGGUUGCAAGCAGGUGGGCUGGGGCAUUCCUAUCUGCUCAGGCACAUGACAAAUGAAGACAUUUCCUGAGGAGGGUGAUGGAACCAAUGUGCUCAUGUCUGAACGUUUUUGCAGAAAGAAUUAAAGGACAGUAAAAAAAAACUUCUGAAUACUCUGUAGUCUUUUGAUAUUCUGAAACUUCUACCUCAUUGCUUAUUUUUAAAAGAACCCAAAUUGGGCUUGGCCUAAACAAGGGAGUCACCUGUGAUUUUGACAACACCUUAAACAGUACACUCCCAUGGUUUUAUACUUUUUCAUAGAUCUGUUUCUUUAAAAAUGUAUAUAUAUAAUUUUUUAAAAUUAUAAAGUUUCUAUAAAUUGCACCAGACUGUGCAUAUCAUUCUGCAAUUCAGCAUGGUUAUUCACUAUGACUUCAAAAUUUAUCCAUGUGGAUGCAUAUAGAUUGAGAGUAUUCCUUUUAACCCACGAAUAGCAGUCCCUUUUGUGAAUAUAUUUUUCUAUUUUAAAAUUAAUAAACAUUUAGAUUAUUCCUUUUUCCUUUAGUAAAAACAAUGCUGCAUUGACAUAUCUCCUUGUGCACGUGUCCUAGGAUUUCCCUAGUGUGUCUGUCUACAAGGGAGGCUGUUGGUUUGUGAGUCCUGCACCCUCCUUACUGGCUAUUGUGAAGUGUUCUUCAGCGUGGUUGUCUCAUAGAGUUCAUACUUUUCCCUAGUAGUAAGUGAGGAUUCCUCUUACCCACAUCCUUUCUGUCUCUUGUGUGUAUCCUUUGUGUUUGGGAGUUGUAUGAUUUUGAUAGUAGUAUAAUUUAUCAAACUAUUGCCUUAUGGCUCCUAGCCCAUGUGUGUGUGUGUGUGUUUUGUCAUGUUUAGAGGUUUUUGGUCACGUUUAGUUUUGGCAGUAAAUGGUUACUGUAGCUUAACUUGCAAAUAUAGUUUUGAGGUUGUUCAUUUUGUUUCACAACGAUGACAUUAAAGGAGAAUAGUACUAAUAGUCCAGAAAUCUGGUAAUCCUGCAGCAGGAUUCUAUCCAGACUGUGCAACACUUUCUCUGCCAGAUAUUAAGGGAGGCUAACAGUGAGGUUAAAUUAAAUUCAGAAACCUGCGAUUGGGAAACCAUGCUAAACAGUGUGUGUAGCAGCCAGACGUCUUCGUUGAAAGGCUUCUGCUCACUGCCCAGAGCCGGGUUGUCUAAUGCAGCAUUAAUAACCGUAUCAGGUCGAGGGUGAAGAUUGAUCUGGAGGCUUUAGUACUGAUGCUCCUUUCUCCCUAUCUUCCUUGUCCUACUUCUUUUGAAUAAUGUUCACUUUCUCCUCAUUAUCAGGUCAAAGUUUCAGGAAAGUCCUAGAUGUAACAAAGUUCAGGCUAAAAAUUUUUGAAAUGUUAAGCUUAUGCAAGACAUUAAACUUUGUCAUACCAUCCCAGCCAAAAGUAAACUAAAACUCCAAACCUGUUGCAUAACCAGACGUGACAUCUGCAGAGCCGUCCUGUAGAAAUAAGCAAUAAACUACACAGUGAACAAGGAACAUAGCAGGUGUGGUCAAUCAGGAAGAGCUUUUUGAUACAAAUUGAUGAUAUUUUUACUUCUGGAACAAUCAGAGAUCUAGGCAAAUAUUUGCCAAUAAUUUUAGAGAUGAAGCUACAUGUGACUCUUCACUCGAGUGCUGAGUGACUACUAUCAUAGGCUACAACCAGUAAGCAGUGAAGCCUAGACAAAGAUCCGGAUACGAAGGAUACUACCCUGAAAAAAUUUUCCUCAGCACAUAUUGACUAUAUUUUGAAGGAAAAGGAGCAUAAUAUAACCUUUGAGUCCUGAGAAGAGCAAUUGCAGUCAAUGGACUUAAUGUCUUAAAUGGCUUUUAGUAUCAUCAUUGGUGGUAUAUAGAAAAAGGUUACAAAGCCUCUUUCACAGCUGGAACUUACAAAUUAAUCCUGUUCAGCAGCAUUCUCUCUCUGUGCUCACUAAUCAGCUCAUGCAGAGGGUGGCUGACGUUCAUCUCUUCCUAAUUAGAGGAGCACGUGCUGCAAAGCCAUCAUUCUGAAUGAGAGCAAUGGUGUUUACUCUGUUUCCCUCACCCUUCCUGCUUCAUUCACCGUUAAGCAACCCAUGACAAUGACACAGCUUGUCACACAGAGUAUGAGGAGAUGGAAUCACAACAUUUGGAGGUAGAUUGCUUGGAUUUGAGUCUAGGCCUUCAACUAGCUGUGUGACCUCGGGCACGUUACCUAAUCUCUCUGAGCCUCGGAUUCUCCAUCUGUAAACAGUUGUUCCAGUCGCUUCCUAAAUUCUGAUGAUUAAAUGAGAUAAUACAUGGAAAAGCACUACGCAAAUAUCUUUUACAAUUUUUAAUUGUUGAAAAUUUCAAACCUAUUCUAAGGUUGAGAGAAGACAGUUGUACCCUCAUGUGCCCAUCACCCAGCUUCAACAAUCAUCCAUUCACGGUCAGUGAUAUUCAUCUAUACUCCAACCAGUACUCUCUCUUGCCCCCAAAGGAAUCUUAUACAGCUAAUUCCAGAUGUCAUAUCAUCCCCAUGCUUACAUAUUUUAGUGUGUAUCUCUAAAAGGUAAAGUCUCUUUUUUAAAAGCAUAACCAUAAAGCCAUUAUCCUACUUAAAA
rnacentral:lncRNA from 1 species